rnacentral:lncRNA from 1 species
GCGGGGCGAGGAGAAGGGGCGGGGCGAGUACUGCUCCAAGAUAUGGCAACCGUGACAGCUUUGCGAGUAGCUCCAGGUCCCCUGCUGCUCCGUGAGAAAUCAAACUUCUGGCAAUGACGAAGCAUGAAGCCAGCAUCUCAGGGAGAGGUAGUGACAUAAUUACACGAUAAGACAAGCCGCCUGGUCUCGCUGUCACUUGGCAGGCAAGAGAGGUUCGGGAACAACCAGGCUCCCCUUUGGCAUGGCAGAACUGCUCUGGACUCGGGAAGGCUUCAUUUCUGAUUCCUGAAUGCGGAUUACUAUUUUAAAAAAGCCUAAAAACUCUGGUCAUGGAUAUUAGACACUGUUAUUGUACUUUGUGAAGAAUUUACUCCUUCAGGAUCAAUUACACACGGGCUCAUCAGCACCUUUGUCAAUAAAGGAACAAGAACCAUGUGGCAUCUAUGGAUGUGGUGAGGUGAGAAAACUGACACUUGGAGAGGUAGAGUAGCUUUAUUUACUUCACACAAGCUUUUGAUGAAUUUCAAGUCUCAACCUAGAAGUCUUCCUCUAAGGUUCGUGCUUUCACGCACCUGUAAUUCAAAUACUGAUGAAAACAAAACUAUUGCCCUCCUACCAAAUGGGAAAUUAAUGUUAUGACUGGAUAAGACAAUUGUGAAGAAACUGCACUUCGAGGUUGUCUGUCUCCGUAUUCCGAUGGAAAAGGCUGGACUUUAGAAGCAUUGCUCGCUCCUUCAGUUUCUAACAAGAUGGCUGUUAUAAAAAGGACAAGAGAUAACAAGUGUUGGUGAUGGUGUGGAGAGAAGGGAACCUUUGUACACUGCUGGUUAAAAUGUAAGUUAGUACAGCCAUUAUGGAAAACAGUAUGAAAGUUCCUGAGAAUCUAAAAAUAGAACUACCAUAUGGCUCAGCAAUCCCUCCUAUGAAUUAUAUAUCAACAGGAAAUGAAAUCAGCAUCUGAUAGAGAUAUCUUCACUCCCCUCUUCUCCGUGCCCCACCACAGCAUUGCUCCCAACAGCCAAGCCAUGGGAUGAAGUUACUGUGCAUUGAUGGAUGAGUGGAGAAAAGAAAAUGUGGGGGAGGUGUUUGUGCAUGUAUGUGUGUGUGUGUAUAAUAUAUAAUAAUAUAAUAUUUUUCAGCUUUUAAGAAGUUGAAGAUACUGCCAUUUGUGAUAACAUAAAUGAAUCUGGAGGAUAUUAAGCUAAGUAAAAUAACUUAGGGAGAGAGAAAAAUACUGCAUAAUUUCUGUUACAUAUGAAAUCUUUAAAAAGGUUUAAUACAUAGAGACAUGAUAGAGUGAUGAUUUGGGGGAUAAGAGACACAAGUCAACGUUUCAGUUAUAUAAAAUAAAUGAAUCUAGAGGACUAAAGUACAAUUUAAAGGUUAUAGUUACUAUUUUUAUAUUAUAUACUAGUGAUUUUUGAACAGGGUAAACUUUAGGUGCUUUGACACCAAAAGGAAACUACAUGAGUUCAUGUAUAUGUUAAAUUGUUUGACCGCAGUCAUCAUUGAUAUGUAUAUGUAUAUAUAUAUAAUUAUGGGCUCAUUAAAUUUAAAUGCUAUAAAUAGGUAACAAAGAAUAAAGUUAAUUGAAAAACUGCAUCAUUAGACUUGAUUUUGCCUACAUGAAAAACUGAAACUGCCUCCUAAAUAUUAAUAUUUGUACAUCGCAUAAAGUUUAUAUGUUGGAAAUAUGUUUAAAGAAAAGGAAUUAUAAAUUUUAAUAAACACAGAAUGACACAGUAAAUGCAAAACAGUAGAAAGAGAUGAAAAUCUGAUUAAUCAGAGUGGUUAAUGCUUAGAUAUAAUUAAUGAUGUGUUAGGAGCAAUUUCAAGCCACUUCCACAUAGAUUUAAUACCAAAGAGUUUAUGUGUACACAGAGAUUAAAUAAAAAAAUACAUUUACAAUGAUAUUAAUUGAUAUUAAAAUGAUUAUGAAAUCAACUGUCUGCUAUAGAAAAAAUAGAGCAUUAAGUAACUAGCAGUAAGUUUGAAACUUUGUUAGAAAGUUAAUCAAGUGAAAAAGUGAUCAGCAUUUUUGAGCACUAAAUAGAGGAUGGACAAAAUUUUCUUUUCUUUCUUUCUUUUUUUUUUUUUUUUGAGAUCGAGUCUGUCUCUGUCGCCCAGGCUGGAGUACAGCGGCGCAAUCUUGAUCUCGGCUCACUGCAAGCUCUGCCUCCCGGGUUCACGCCAUUCUCCUGCAUUAGCCUCCUGAGUACCUGGGACUGCAGGCGCCCACAGCCAUCCCUGGCUAAUUUUUUGUAUUUUUAGUGGAGACGGGGUUUCACCGUGUUAGUCAAGAUGGUCACGAUCUCCUGAGCUCAUGAUCCACCUGCCUCAGCCUCUUAAAGUGCUGGGAUUACAGGCGUGAGCCACCGCACCUGGCCUAUAAUUUUCCAAUACCAAGAAAAUCAUUUGAUAUUGCAAGAUUUUAAACCUAAAUUAGUGUCUUUAACUUCACAAAGGUAGAAAUCCUAUAAGUAAUGUUUCUUGAACACUUUAAAAUGACAAUAAAAACUAAAGUGUAACCAACAAGUAACAUGUAGCCACAUGCAAAUUUCCUUUUAGAUUGUUUUAUUAUUUUUUUAACUUUAUGUGAAUUUUUAUUUUACUAGGUUUUUGGGGAACAGGUGGUGUUUGGUUAGAGGGAUAAGUUUUUAGUGGUGAUCUCUGAGAUGUUGGUGCAGUGUACACUGUACCCAAUGGGUAGCCUUUGAUCCCUAAGAUUGUUUUAAAUGACAUCUAGAUUAAAUAGAACAUUCAAACUGACAUUACUUUUACAGCACCAGAGAAAUGCUAAGGAGGAAGCUUUGUGACUGAAACCAAAAGACCUGAAUUUAUAUAUUUAAUUUUACUAAUUAACAUUCUUAAUUUUAUAGAAAAACAGCAAUUCUGCCCACAUGCAGGAGUUAUGCAUUAAAGUGGAGCAUGAUCACUUCAGACAUUUGUCCAAAACAUAAAAAUUCUUCCAAGUAUUAAGAAAAUAUUUAUACUUCACAGAUAUUGUUAGUGUAUAAUACAUGGGCAUUGAGAUGUUUCAAAUGAGAAAAAUUGAAAUUUCUCAUGGGGCAUUGUUCUACACAAAAUAUUUAUGUAAAAUUUUUUACUCAUAUAUGCAUGUGGACAUUUGAUGUUUUAGCACAGAAUAACAUAUUCUCAAAGGUCAUUUAAUGUAGUAAAUUAAAAAUCUUUAAAGUUUACAAGAAUUUUAAAACUGCCCAGCAGAACUGAUAGAAAAAUAUGGGAGCUUCCCAGGACCAGAAGUGAAUCAAGAGGCAAAUUCACAGGAGUCAUGAAAGUGAGAAGUUAGAGCUGCCUUCAGGUACAGCUCUGAUUGCAGGGCUGAUUACACAGACCUCAAGCCUGUGAAAAUCGUCCACUCUGCCCCUUGGAAUAUACAUACAGAGAAAAUUACUAACUGGGGCAUCCCAAAUGUGAGAUCUCUAUAAUGUAAGAACCAAAUUGCAAUUAUGAAGCACACAAAAGAAGCUACCCAAAAAAGGGAAAGAAAUUAUACAUCACGUAAACUUCACAGAUUGGAAACGUAUUUAAAAUAAGUAACACAAAUAGGGAAAGAGAAUAUCAAAAUAAUUUUGAAAACACAUGAAGUUCUAAAGCGGGCACUGGGGGCAGUGGCUCAUGCCUGUACUCCCAAGCACUUUGCGGUGGCCAAAGCAGGAGGAUCACUUGAGGCCAGGAGUUUGAGAUCAGCCUGGGCAACAAAGCAAAAGUUGUCUCUACAACAAAUAGAUAUAAAAAAAUAAGCCAGGCACAGUGGUGUGUGCUUGUACUGUCAGCUACUGGGGAGGUGGAGGUGAGAGGGUCUUUUGAGACUGGGAAUUUGAGGUUGCAGUGAGCUAUGACCACCACUGAACUCAAGCCUGGGUGACAGAGAUUCUUUCUCAAACACACACACACACACACACACACACACACACACACACACACACACACACUAAACAGGCAUGUUUUGCAAAGACUCAAACAGAAAUUGAACAACUGAAACUUAAAUAAAUUUAAUAUACAGUGUAUGGUUUAAUUAUUAAACCAAGUUAAUAACAACAGGAUUAGUGAACUAGAAUACUGAGAUGAGUAAAUAAAAGAACUACAGAAAAAUGAAAUGAUCACAAUACAAAAAUGAGUAUACAUGUACAAAGAAUAAAAUGAAAUGAAAUCAAAUACAUUGGUUUCACUAGCUUACAUAUAAAUAACAAAUCACAUUAAUAACAAAUAUUUAUAAAUUUCUGAAACUGAAUAUCAGAUGGGAACCCUUGAAUGCAGAAGUGUAUUGUGAUUAAUAGUGGCCUACCAAUAAAAAAUACUCAACAGAAAUAAAAGUCAAACUGCAUAACAGCAAAGAAAAGAAAAAAUUUUAAAGCCAUAAGAGAGAAAAGAAGAGAGAACCAAUGAAGGUGAGAGCAAAGUCUUCACAGCCCGUGUUCAGUCAGAAAACAGAGAAAUAAGUAAGAGUGCUGAGAUAAGUCACUGUUCAACCAAUAAUUAGAUACUUCACUAACAUAUUUUGAAUAAGUGAGGAUGCACUACAUGAUUUCCAAAAGUAAAAAAGUGGGAAAUCUUAUUACCAAUAUGAGCUUAUUAAGAAUACACUUCAAAAAGAAAAAAAAUUUAAAAUGGAGUUCAAGGAAUCAAAAUGAAAUGCAAGAAACUGCAAACAUAUUGGGCUAUCAAAUCAUGGUGGACAAUGAACAAAAGGAUCCAUCAAGUCUUUGGCAGCAUCAGUUUCCAAAUGAUUUACAUAAAAUAAAAGUGCUAAACUCUAUACAAUGUAAUGAAAUAAAUUAUCAAAUCCUCUGAUACUUGAAUAAUUUAACUGAUGUUAGAAUCUCCUUUUCAGAUAAUUAUUUUCAUGGAAAAAAAUAUACAAUACUUCUGUCUCAUCAUUUGCAGAAUAUCAAUUAUCCUUUUUUCAGAACUUAUUAGCACCAAAGGGCUCACAGUGGCAUAGGCCCUGGUCACAAGCCUCUGGACACCCAG